rnacentral:lncRNA from 1 species
GUCAAUUAAAUCAAAACAUCCGGUUUGAUUAGCCCACAUUGAGCUCCACAUUUUAUAGGCAUGUAUGGUUGUCUAGUUAACUGUUUAGGUUCAAAUAAUUAUUACAAAGUCCCUGACGGGAUAUCUUGUCCAAUUUAAAAGUUUACCGGAAUGUUUUUUCAUUGAAAAUGUUGUUGAAUUUAAAGCACCACCAAAAAUGAACUAAGCACCAGAGGAGGAAGCAUCUGUCUUAAGGUCUAACAUCCAGGGCUGGGGUCCAAUAUCAUUAAAAAAAUUCAUAUCAGCACCAUCAAAAAAAACCUCACCAUUACAGAUGAUAGCUUAAAUUCCACCACAAUGUCCAAUAAACAGGAAGAUGGGUCUACAAAACUCUUUUGGGGUCUAUGUUGAUUUGUAGGGCCCAUUAACCUGCAAACACUUUUAUCCAAUCCUAAGUAUAAAGGUCUACUAUGGUAAAUGUAUAUUUCGUUAAAAAAAAAGUAACAAGCACCACCAAAAAUAAUGUAACUUCGCUCCCGUUAGUCCAACCAAUGGAUAUAGUUGACUGAAACACUCUUUGGAGUUGUAAGUUGGUUAGUUAUGCUCAUUAGUCCACAGGCACAUAUGGUCCAAUCUACACAAGUCCUGGGGUCUUUUGGUGUAUAUAUCAUUUAAAGAAAAAUAUAAGCACCACAGAAAAAAAACUUAGCACCACGGGAGGUAGCUUCCCUCAGAUUGGUCCAACUGACGUGUAUAGGGGUCUAAAGCACUCUAUUGGGGUCUAAGAUGGUUUGUUAAGCUCAUUAGUCCACAGGCACAUAUGGUCCAAUCUACACAAGUCCUGGGGUCUGUUGGUGUAUAUAUCAUUUAAGAAAAAUAUAAGCACCACAGAAAAAAACUUAGCACCACGGGAGGUAGCUUCCCUCUGAUUAGUCCAACUGACGUGUAUAGGGAUUGUCUAAAGCACUCUAUUGGGGUCUAAGAUGUGUUUGUUAAGCCAAUUAGUCCACAGGCACAUAUGGUCCAAAUCUACACAAGUCCUGGGGUCUGUUGGUGUAUAUAUCAUUUAAGAAAAAUAUAAGCACCACAGAACACCAAUUGGUCCAACUGACGUGUAUAGGGGUCUAAAGCACUGUAUUGGGGUCUAAGAUGGUUUUUUAAGCUCAUUAGUUUACAGGAACAUCCUGGGGUCUGUUGGUGUAUAUAUCAUUUAAGAAAAAUAUAAGCACCACAGAAAAAAACUUAGCACCACGGGAGGUAGCUUCCCUCCAAUUGGUCCAACUGACGUGUAUAGGGGUCUAAAGCACUCUAUUGGGGUCUAAGAUUUUGUUAAGCUCAUUAGUCCACAGGCACAUAUGGUCCAAUCUACACAAGUCCUGGGGUCUGUUUGGUGUAUAUAUCAUUUAAGAAAAAUAUAAGCACCACAGAAAAAAACUUAGCACCACGGGAGGUAGCUUCCCUCCAAUUGGUCCAACUGACGUGUAUAGGGGUCUAAAGCACUCUAUUGGGGUCUAAGAUGGUUUGUUAAGCUCAUUAGUCCACAGGCACAUAUGGUCCAAUCUACACAAGUCCUGGGGUCUUUUGGUGUAUAUAUCAUUUAAGAAAAAUAUAAGCACCACAGAAAAAAAACUUAGCACCACGGGAGGUAGCUUCCCUCCAAUUGGUCCAACUGACGUGUAUAUAGGGGUCUAAAGCACUCUAUUGGGGUCUAAGAUGGUUUGUUAAGCUCAUUAGUCCACAGGCACAUAUGGUCCAAUCUACACAAGUCCUGGGGUCUUUUGGUGUAUAUAUCAUUUAAGAAAAAUAUAAGCACCACAGAAAAAAAAACUUAGCACCACGGGAGGUAGCUUCCCUCCAAUUGGUCCAACUGACGUGUAUAGGGGUCUAAAGCACUCUAUUGGGGUCUAAGAUGGUUUGUUAAGCUCAUUAGUCCACAGGCACAUAUGGUCCAAUCUACACAAGUCCUGGGGUCUUUUGGUGUAUAUAUAUAUCAUUUAAGAAAAAAUAUAAGCACCACAGAAAAAAAACUUAGCACCACGGGAGGUAGCUUCCCUCCAAUUGGUCCAACUGACGUGUAUAGGGGUCUAAAGCACUCUAUUGGGGUCUAAGAUGGUUUGUUAAGCUCAUUAGUCCACAGGCACAUAUGGUCCAAUCUACACAAGUCCUGGGGUCUUUUGGUGUAUAUAUAUCAUUUAAGAAAAAAUAUAAGCACCACAGAAAAAAAAACUUAGCACCACGGGAGGUAGUCUUCCCUCCAAUUGGUCCAACUGAACAUGUAUAGGGGUCUAAAGUACUCUAUCGGGGUCUAAGUUGGUUUGUUAAGCUCAUUAGUCUACAGGCUCAUAUGGUCCAAUCUACACAAGUCCUGGGGUCUUUUGGUGUAUACAUGAAUCAUUGGUCCAAAAGCAACUGUGGUCCAAUAUGCAUUAGUCCAGGGUUUCAGGAUAUAUAUUAAACUAAAGAAAAAUAUAAGCACCACCAAAAAGAGACUUAGCACCACAGUAGUUAGCUUCCCUUCCUUUGGUCCAACAGAUGGGUAUAGGGGUCUAAAUACUCUUUGGGGUUCUAAGUUGGUUUGUAAGGCUCAUUGGUCCACAGGCAACUUUGAUCCACUCUUCAAGUCAAGGGUCUUUUAUAUUAUAUUUUAUUUGAUAAAAAUAUAAGCACCACCAAAAACAAACUUUGCAUCUCAAGAGGUAGCUUCCCUCCCAAUGGUCCAAAGGAUGGGUAGUGGGUCUAAAAUAGUCUUUGUUCUUAGGGUUUGUAAGGCCUGUUGGUCUAAAAGCAACUGUGGUCCAAUCUACAUUAGGCUAGGGGUCUCUGGGUAUAUUUCACUGAAGAAAAAUAUAAGCACCACCAAAAAGAAAUGUAGCACCACAGGAGGUUACUUCCCUCCAUUUGGUCCAACAGAUGGGUAUAGGGGUCUAAAUACUCUUAGGGGUACUAAGUUGGUUUGUAAGGCUCAUUGGUCAACAGGCAACUGUGGUCUAAUCUUUAAGUUAAGGGUUCUCAUAGGGUGUAUUUCAUUAAAGAAAAAUAUAAGCACCAAGAAAAACAAACUAAGCACCAUGGGAGGUAGCUUUCCGCUCGUUGGCCCAACAGACAGAUUUAGGGGUCUAACAUAUUCUUUGGGUCUAAGAUGAUUUGAAAAGCUCAUGUGGUUCAAUCUUCUAGUCCAGAGGUCUGUUGUAGUAUAUUUCAUUUAAGAAAUAUAAGCACCAUCAGGCACAAACUAAGCACCAUGGGAGGUAGCUUUCCUCUCAGUGGUCCAUCAGAUAGGUUAAGGGGUCUAACCCACUCUUUUGGGUCUAAGAUGAUUUGAAAAGCACAUGUGGGGCAAUCUUCUAGUCCAGAGGUCUGUUGUGGUAUAUUUCAUUAAAAAAAUAUAAUAAGCACCACCAAAAAUGAACUUAGCAACACGGAUGAUUGCUUCCACUGCCUUGAUCCAAUAAACAGGUAUAGGGAUGUAAAAAACACUUUGAGAGGUCUAUGUUGAUUUAUAUGGCCCACUGUCUGUGUCCAAUCUACGAGUCCAGGAGUUUUAUGAUAUAUUUCAUUAAAGAAAAACUUGAUUUUGUUUUACAGGGCCAUUUGGUCUACAUGUAUGCACAAAAUGUUACUGACAGGUCUGUAUCCUUAAAGCUGUGUAAAUGCAAACAAAUGUUGUGAGGAGAUUUUAAAGCCAGAAAAAUUGUAUUUCUUAUGAUAAUUCUCCAUUGCUCUCCCUGUCUUCAAGGCAAAAACCCUCUAAAGGAGCACAUGAAAUAGUAUGAAAUAAGCACCUUAAAACAUGAAGUAACUUUGUAAAAAAGAAGAAAAAACAAAUAUGAUAUUCAGCAAUGAUAACAGGCUGCUGACUUAGAACAGUCACAUAUAGAAAAACAUAAAUAACAUGACAUGUUCAUUAUGGUGUGAUAAUUAAAGUCAUAUGCUAAAUUAUUGAUUCUCAAUUGUACAUCAUUUUCAUGAAAUUGUGUGUCUAACUAUAUAUCUAAAUCUUGUUUUUCUUUCCACAGAUUAUCCAAAUUGACGUCAAAAGUGUUCAGAUAUCAGAUGUACUACAGCUAAAGAAUGAAAUUAAUUGUGGUCAUUUCACAGCUUUUGCCUACAGUCAGCUUUUUAUGGUAGGAUAAUAUGCACGUCUUAAGUAUUAAUAGUGUAUACAAAUGUAAAAUAAAUCAAUGUAUACACACCUUUUAUCAAUUAAUAAUUUGUUCAUUCAUUUUCCCAUAUUUUGAUAAAUUACAUUGCACAUAAUCUAAAUAAAUUAUCACAUAUUAAAGUAAACAAUAAGUAUAUCCAAUUGGACAAAUAUAAGUUUCAAGUAGACAAUUAUUCUAUAAUAUUACAAAAGUGGCAGAUGACCUGUAGUUGUUAAUUUCUGUAUCAUUUGGUCUCUUGUAAAGAGUUGUCUCAUAGGCAAAUACAUUUACAAUCUGUUAGGGAGCUGAUUUUACUGAUUCAGACAAUUUAUUUCAUUCUAUCUUGAUUGAUUAUGUAGCACUAAACAAUUGUCACAAGCAAACAUGUAUUUGAAUUUCAAGUUAUUAUUUAAAUAAAUUGAGUCUUUAUUAUUUCAGUGAAUUAAAGAAUGAAGAGAAAUCAACUUAUUAAUACCCAAGCUGACCAACUGUCAAGAAAGAGAAGACAAGGCAACUCCAUCUGAAGGAAAUUAAAAGAAAAGAUUUAAUCAUUACAACAAUAGAUGUGAAAAUGUUAUUUUUUCAAUCUAAAACACACAUAACAAAAAAUACACUUAAGAAAUACUGUUCAAGAUUGAUUCUUAAAAUAUCAGUCUUACU